UACUGGGGGGGUAAGCGUUGUUCGGAAUUACUGGGCGUAAAGGGCUCGUAGGCGGCCAACUAAGCCAGAUGUGAAAUCCCCAGGCUUAACCUGGGAACUGCAUCUGAUACUGGAUGGCUUGAAUCCGGGAGAGGGAUGCAGAAUUCCAGGUGUAGCGGUGAAAUGCGUAGAUAUCAGGAGGAACACCUAUGGCGAAAGCAGGUUACUGGCCCAAUACUGACACUGAGCUGCGAAAGCUAGGGGAGCAAACAGG
rnacentral:rRNA from 1 species